rnacentral:rRNA from 1 species
UACGAAGGGGGCUAGCGUUGCUCGGAAUUACUGGGCGUAAAGGGCGCGUAGGCGGGUCGUUUAGUUAGAGGUGAAAGCCCAGGGCUCAACCCUGGAAUUGCCUUUAAUACUGGCGGCCUUGAGUAUGGCAGAGGUGUGUGGAACUCCGAGUGUAGAGGUGAAAUUCGUAGAUAUCGGGAGGAACACCAGUGGCGAAGGCGGCGAUCUGGGUCGAUACUGACGCUGAGGUGCGAAAGCGUGGGGAGCAAACAGG